rnacentral:lncRNA from 1 species
GAUGAGCUAUUGUAAUAGUUAGCAAAGUACUCUCUUUAUUUCACAUGUUAUUCCUGUGGAUUACUUGCUCUUGUAGUUGCUGGCACUAUUUGUGCCCUGUGGAAUGUGUAUGUUUAGAAUUUAAAUUCCUGAGAAAUUCUUGUACACAUUCUUGUUGUGAGCCUUGGGCGGACAGGAGAGGUGUUGUCCGUUCGGCGGUCCCUCGUCGCGCCCGAAUCGUGCCAAAUUAGUAGUGGUUUCGGGGCGGGGCGUGACAGUCGUGUGGUAUCAGAGCCAUAAGAUCAAGUAAAGAGAGAAAGUCUAGGAUGACCUAGGAGACCCUAGGUUGGUAAGCCCUAAGGUUAUAGGUGCGUGAGCGGAACGUGAACCUAUAACGAUGGCGGAAGCUGAUUCGAUUGGGUCGAAGUUGGUAAUAUGUCUCUAGUUGUGACUAGAGAUGGAUUCAAGUGGUAUUAGUUCUUGAUUUGAGGUGGUUGUGUCGGCGGCCGACGACAUGAUGCCAAGAGUCUAGAAUGAGUACACUUGUGUGCUUCCGCCCGAUUUUGUUAUUGAGUUGUCAUGUGUCGUAAUUUCGACGAGGUAAUUGGUUAAGAUGACUGACCAAGUAUUUGCGUUUCAGGGACUAAUGUCUCCAAGACGCUACACACGUAGAUCUACUCUGGCACCGACUCCUGAGGUGCCCGAGCAGGAUGAACCGAGUGUGAUGGAUCGGUUGAAGGCGCAAAUGGCCGCAUUGACCAAUGUGGUGCAGUACCAGGAGACCCGAUUUGAGCGGCCCCAGUAGCUCUUGGAGCGGCAGGCUGCGGCGGCGGCCGCAACGGUGACGGAUGGACGCGAUGUGCCCGCACCCUCGACUCACGUACCUGAGCCAGCUGAGGGUGAGGGUAUAGCGGCGGUUCCGGUGGCGGCACGUCCCCCGCCGGCGAUUGUUUCUCCGGCGGCGUCGGGAUCGGCGACACCCGAUGUGAUGGCCGAAGACGCAGAAGGAGAGCGCGCGUUGGCGGCUCUUAUCAAGUUUAACAAGUUCCAUCCGCCUACUUUUGAGGGCGAGAAGGUGGAGCUGGCAAUGGUCGAGUCUUGGAUCGACUCGAUGGAAACCCUCUUCGAUGAUUUGCGUACCCUGGAGAGGGAUAAGGUGUACCUCGCCACCCAUUGCGUGGAGAAAGCGGCGAAGGUAUGGUGGAAGCGCGUCAAACGGGAUCGGCUUCCCGGCCUUCCGCCAAUGCUGUGGGAGGAAUUCAAGCGGGAGAUGUUCGCCAACUAUUUCCCCGAUACAUUGAAGUGGAAGCUCAAGGAGAAGUUCCGCAAGUUAGAGCAAGGGAACCUCUCAGUGGCGGAGUAUGAGCAAGAAUUCUCCCAUAUUAUAGAUUGUGUCCCGGAUGUUGUAAAGGAUGACCGGGAUCGGGCCGAGUGGUUCUUGCGAGGACUUCGGCCGGGAAUCUACAAGGCUGUGCAAAUACUCAAGCUCACGACCUUUGCGGAGGUCUUCGAUCGAGCGUUGUGGGCGGAGCACGGAGAUGCCCACAUUCGGGAGAAGCGUGAGCUUUUGGCCGAGUCCAAGGAUAAGGGCAAGAAACGCCAAGGCGGCGGUAGUUCAGGGGGACAAACACGUUACAAGAAACUCCCGAAGCAUCCGCGCACUCAACAGAAGGGCGGUGGAGCACGGUGAUGCAUUGUAUGCGGCGGAGACCACCCGGUCUCGCGCUGUGAGCAAGGCCGAGGCAAGUGCUACAAGUGUGGGCAACCGGGGCACUUCAUUCGGGACUGUCCGGGAGGAGGAGCCUCACCUGCCCCAUCGACUGCAUCGGCGCCGGCGAAUCCGGCUCACUAUGGAGGAGCUCCACCGGUGGCCGCGUCGACGGGACGUGCGAUGAUACCGCGUCAACCUGAAGUCACACAAUCAGCUCCGAGCGGUCGGGUAUUCGCCGCUCAGGUCCAAGCUGAGGAGUCUGCGGAGGUGGAGGAGCAUCGCCUUGUGGCAGGUAUGGUUUUAAUUAACGGAGUUCGCUCUAGGGCUUUAUUUGAUACAGGAGCCACGCAUUCAUUCAUAAGUAGAUCAUUCGCACGCAUGCAUGACAUUCUCAUAGAGCCGAGUGACAAAUGGCGAGUUGAGGGCCCUGGGUCGACGUUUAACACUUACUCGGAGUGUGCGUCGUGUCCAGUACAAGUGGGUGACUGGAUAAUGCCUAUUCGGACGCUAGAACUCAAGAAGCUCGAGGCUUAUGACAUCAUCUUGGGCAUGGACUGGCUCUCAAAAUAUCAUGCAACGAUCGACUGCAAGAGCAGAGUAAUUACAUUUCGUGAGCAAGGACAAAAGGAGUUCACAUAUCGGGCUUAUCAGAGCUCGUGCUUCGUCGCGACGGUGUCGGCGAAAAGAGCAAGGAAGUUGGUCAAUAGCGGUUGCACGGCAUUCUUAGCACUGUUGUGGAAGUGGAACGAGUGACUCUGACAUUGGAGGAGUUAUCAGUGGUACGGGAGUUCCCGGAUGUAUUUCCCGCGGAGUUGCCAGGGAUACCACUAGAUCGAAAAAUCGAGUUCGUCAUAGACUUGGUUCCGGGUACCGCACCGAUCUCGAAGACUCCGUACCGAAUGGCGCCGGCGGAACUGAAAGAGUUGAGGAGUCAAUUGCAAGACCUUCUCGACAAGCAAUUUAUACGGCCAAGUGUAUCACCGUGGGGAGCCCUGGUGCUUUUCGUAAAGAAGAAGGACGGAUCGUUUCGACUCUGCGUAGAUUAUCGAGAGUUGAACAGAGUCACGAUCAAGAACAAGUACCCACUACCCCGAAUCGAUGACCUGUUCGAUCAGUUGCAGGGGUCGUGUGUGUAUUCGAAGAUAGAUCUGUAAUCCGGCUAUCACCAGUUGAAAAUCAAGCCGGAGGAUGUGCAGAAAACUGCGUUUCAUACGCGGUAUGGGCACUAUGAAUUCGCAGUCAUGCCAUUUGGACUCACGAACGCUCCAGCGGCAUUUAUGGACUUGAUGAACCGUGUCUUCAGGAAGUUUUUAGAUCGAUUUGUCGUGGUCUUCAUAGACGACAUAUUGGUCUAUUCUCGUAGUGACGAGGAACAUGCCGAGCAUUUGAGAAUAGUGCUUCAAACCCUUCGAGAGGAGAAACUGUAUGCUAAGUUGAAGAAGUGUGACUUCUGGCUCCGAGAAGUCGCAUUUCUAGGGUAUGUGAUUUCCGCGGGUGGAGUUUCUGUAGACCCGAGGAAAGUUGAGGCAAUCAAGGAUUGGCCGCGCACGACGAAUGUCAUAGAGAUUCGAAGCUUCGUGGGCUUGGCGGGCUAUUAUAGGCGGUUUGUGGAAGGCUUUUCCAAGAUAGUGAUUCCACUUACCCGCCUGACUCAAAAAGGCACCAAGUUUGUAUGGAGCGAGGAGUGCAACCGGAGUUUCAAAGAGUUGAAGCAAAGAUUAACUUCGACUCCAGUGCUCGCUCUACCGGUGCAGGGCGAAGACUUCGUAGUCUACAGCGAUGCCUCCUAUCUUGAAUUGGGAUGUGUAUUGGUGCAAAACGGGAAGGUGAUUGCUUAUGCAUCCUGUCAGCUGAAGAGCUAUGAAAAGAAUUACUCCAUCCACGAUUUGGAGCUAGCGGCAGUAAUCUUCGCCUUGAAGUUGUGGUGGCACUACUUGUAUGGUGCCUAUUGUGAGAUUUACACCGACCACAAGAGUUUGAAAUAUCUAUUCACACAGAAAGAGCUCAACAUGAGACAGCGGCGGUGGUUAGAAUUGUUAAAGGACUAUGAUGUUGAUAUCCUUUACCACCCCGAGAAAGCAAAUGUGGUCGCAGAUGCACUGAGUAGGAAGUCAGCGGAGAACCUUGCCAUGUGGGUUACAAAUCAAUCACCAUUAUGGCUCGAUAUGGAGAGACUAGACCUCAAAGUAGUUACUCUCGAGACUCCAGCUCAGUUGAUGGCACUCGUUGUCCGACCGACCUUGUUUGAGAGGAUCAAAGAUCUGCAACCCGCAGACCCCGAGCUCCAAAAGGUGCGGCGAAACAUCGAGAAAGGGCAUGGCGGCGAUUUCAGUGUAGACGCCGAUAGUUCGCUUCGGUUUAGAAAUCGAUGGUGUGUGCCGAAGGAUGGAGAGCUUCGUGAAUUGAUUCUACAAGAAGCACACCGAUCUCCAUAUGCCGAUCACCUGGGCGGCACCAAGAUAUAUCAAGGACUAAAAAUGCACUACUGGUGGCCGGAAAUGAAAAGUGAUAUUGGACGCUUUGUGGCAAAGUGCUUAACAUGCUAACAAGUAAAGGACGAGCGUCGAUUUCCAGCGGGAAAGCUUCAAAGCCUACCAAUCUCCGUUUGGAAAUGGGAGGAUAUAUCGAUGGACUUCGUGGUCGGCUUGCCUCGCUCAACGGGCGGCCACGAUGCAAUUUGGGUAAUUGUGGACCGAUUGACGAAGUCGGCUCACUUCUUGCCGAUCCACACCACGUGGUCGAGUGACAAGUUAGCGCAGGUAUAUCUCGACGAGAUAGUGAGACUGCAUGGGGUGCCGAAAUCGAUCGUGUCGGAUUGUGACCCCCGGUUCACUUCACACUUCUGGAAGAGCCUGCAGGAAGCCCUUGGCACACGGCUCAACUUUAGCACCGCAUUUCAUCCUCAGACCGAUGGGCAAACAAAGAGAACCAUACAAACUCUGGAGGAUAUGUUGCGAGCGUGUGUCAUCUACUAUAAGGGAAGUUGGUGUAAUCACCUACCUAUGGCCGAGUUCGUCUACAACAACAGUUAUCAUGCUAGUGUGGAGAUGGCACCGGUCGAGGCUCUUUAUGGGCGGACGUGUCGGUCUCCUAUACACUGGAGCGAUGUGGGUGAGCGUGCAGAGUUCGGCCCCGAUGUGUUGCGAGAAGCGGAGGAGAAAGUCCGCCUUGCUCGCAAAAGAUUGCUCACGGCGCAGUCGAGACAGCAAAGCUAUGCAGAUAGGCGCCGACGAGAUAUAGAGUUCGCGGUGGGCGACCGCGUAUUCUUGAAGGUUUUCACCGAUGCGGGGUGUGAAGCAGUUUGGAGUAUGGAGAAAAUUGAGUCCCCGAUAUAUUGGACCCUAUGAAAUAUUGGAGCGAGUUGGCACGGUGGCUUACGACUCGCUUUGCCGCCGAAGCUCGCGGAUGUACACAAUGUGUUCCAUGUCUCCAAUCUCCACAAGUUUAUUCACGACCCCAAGCACGCAAUGCUAUAUGAGCCGCCGGAACUUCAAGGAGACUUGAGUUAUGAAGAGUUUCCGGUGAGGCUAAUUGCACGAGAGGUGCGAAAGUUGAGAAAUCGAGAAAUUCCCUACGUGAAGGUUAGGUGGAGCAAUCAUGAUGAUCGCGAGGCCACCUGGGAACUCGAGAAUCUGAUGAGAAGACACCACCCUCAUCUGUUUGAGGAGUGAGGUAAAAAUUUAAGUUAGAGUAAAGAAUCGAGUUAGUUUUGAGGACGAAACUCUUUUUAAGGAGAGGAGGAUGUAAGGAAGUGAAUUCUCGAAAUCCGAGACUUGUACUUCGUCCAGUAUCGACUAUUUGUCGAGAGAAUACCCUUUGGGGAAGUUAAAGAUGUCCAAAGCACAAAAAGUGUGUUGGAGUUGAGUCCGCGAGAGCAUAUAGUGCAAAACCUGCACUGGGCUGAAGUUGCUCUCUGUAAGGUAUCGAAAAUUCGACGAAAACGGCUAACUUUGGCACAAUGGACCAAAGUGAGCAAUUGAAUGUUUGGACAAGUUCCAUUCGGUAUUUCAACAUGUUUGGGAGAGUAAAAAUGAGUUCCAAAAGUGUUGGAAUAGUUUUAGCGUUGUUGGACGCGAAAAGAAAUCGAAGCAGAUCGAAAAACAGCAUUCUUGCGCUGUUGUACCGGUACAAGGUUGAUGCUGUACCGGUACAACCAUCGCGGAACAGUGCCUGAUGGCUGUACCGGUACAAGGGCCUUGUACCGGUACAAAACCCGCGCGACCGAGCAACCCGAGCCUCGGGUUUGCUCUCUGUUUCGCUGUUACGCAGGGCUUGUACCGGUACAAGACCCCGUGUACCGGUACAAGGGCGCGGCAGCAGCGGGUUAAGUUGCAAAAUCUGAUAAAAGGAGGGCUUUUUAGCAUAUUGUUACAAUAGAGGACUUAUUCCUCUCACACUCAGCUCUCUCCUCUCUCACUCUCAUAACCUCUCUCUCUCUAGCUCCCUCUCUCUGUCUAACCGGUUGAAGAAGAGAAGAAGAAAAGAGAAGAGAAGAAGAAAAGAGAAGGAAGAAAAGGAAGAGAAGAUCAAGGAGAAGAAGAUAAAGCUCCUUUCUCUCCUCUCCAUCAAGCUUGGGCCUUCUUUGGAGCAAAACCUAAGGUAAGCUCUAACCCUAGUUUUUGGAUUUCUAGGGUUUAGGGGUUUUUGUUGGUUUUAACGGUUCAAAUGAACCUAAUAAGCUUAGAGAACAUGGAUUUAGCUCACAAUGAAGCUAGAAAC